rnacentral:misc_RNA from 1 species
AAAUGCGAUAAGUAAUGUGAAUUGCAGAAUUCAGUGAAUCAUCGAAUCUUUGAACGCACCUUGCGCUCCUUGGUAUUCCUUGGAGCAUGCCUGUUUGAGUAUCAUGAAAUCUUCAAAGUAAAUCUUCUGUUAACUCAAUUGGUUUCUACUUUGGUAUUGGAGGUCUUUGCAGCUUCACACCUGCUCCUCUUUGUUCAUUAGCUGGAUCUCAGUGUUAUGCUUGGUUCCACUCGGCGUGAUAAGUUAUCUAUCGCUGAGGACACUGUAAAAGGUGGCCAAGGUAAAUGCAGAUGAACCGCUUCUAAUAGUCCAUUGACUUGGACAAUACUUUUAUGAUCUGAUCUCAAAUCAGGUAGGACUACCCGCUGAACUUAAGC